UGCAAGUCGAACGAUGAACCACUUCGGUGGGGAUUAGUGGCGAACGGGUGAGUAACACKUGGGCAAUCUGCCCUGCACUCUGGGACAAGCCCUGGAAACGGGGUCUAAUACCGGAUACUGAUCNUCNUGGGCAUCCUUGGKGAUCGAAAGCUCCGGCGGUGCAGGAUGAGCCCGCGGCCUAUCAGCUUGUUGGUGAGGUAAUGGCUCACCAAGGCGACGACGGGUAGCCGGCCUGAGAGGGCGACCGGCCACACUGGGACUGAGACACGGCCCAGACUCCUACGGGAGGCAGCAGUGGGGAAUAUUGCACAAUGGGCGAAAGCCUGAUGCAGCGACGCCGCGUGAGGGAUGACGGCCUUCGGGUUGUAAACCUCUUUCAGCAGGGAAGAAGCGAAAGUGACGGUACCUGCAGAAGAAGCGCCGGCUAACUACGUGCCAGCAGCCGCGGUAAUACGUAGGGCGCGAGCGUUGUCCGGAAUUAUUGGGCGUAAAGAGCUCGUAGGCGGCUUGUCGCGUCGGWUGUGAAAGCCCGGGGCUUAACCCCGGGUCUGCAKUCGAUACGGGCAGGCUAGAGUKCGGUAGGGGAGAUCGGAAUUCCUGGUGUAGCGGUGAAAUGCGCAGAUAUCAGGAGGAACACCGGUGGCGAAGGCGGAUCUCUGGGCCGAUACUGACGCUGAGGAGCGAAAGCGUGGGGAGCGAACAGGAUUAGAUACCCUGGUAGUCCACGCCGUAAACGGUGGGCACUAGGUGUGGGCGACAUUCCACGUCGUCCGUGCCGCAGCUAACGCAUUAAGUG
rnacentral:rRNA from 1 species